CACGUACCGGACAAACGUUAUUCGGAAUCACUGGGCUUAAAGAGUCCGUAGGCGGCUCGGUAGGUGAGGUGUGAAAUCCCACGGCUCAACCGUGGAACUGCGCUUCAAACCACCGAGCUUGAGGGAGAUAGAGGUGAGCGGAACUGAUGGUGGAGCGGUGAAAUGCGUUGAUAUCAUCAGGAACACCGGUGGCGAAAGCGGCUCACUGGGUCUCUUCUGACGCUGAGGGACGAAAGCUAGGGGAGCGAACGGG
rnacentral:rRNA from 1 species